rnacentral:rRNA from 1 species
GAUGAACGCUGGCGGCGUGCUUAACACAUGCAAGUCGAACGGAAAGGCUCCUGCUUGCAGGGGUACUCGAGUGGCGAACGGGUGAGUAACACGUGGGUGAUCUGCCCUGCACUUCGGGAUAAGCCUGGGAAACUGGGUCUAAUACCGGAUAGGACGAUGGUUUGGAUGCCAUUGUGGAAAGUUUUUUCGGUGUGGGAUGAGCUCGCGGCCUAUCAGCUUGUUGGUGGGGUAAUGGCCUACCAAGGCGUCGACGGGUAGCCGGCCUGAGAGGGUGUACGGCCACAUUGGGACUGAGAUACGGCCCAGACUCCUACGGGAGGCAGCAGUGGGGAAUAUUGCACAAUGGGCGCAAGCCUGAUGCAGCGACGCCGCGUGGGGGAUGACGGCCUUCGGGUUGUAAACUCCUUACGCUAGGGACGAAGCGCAAGUGACGGUACCUGGAGAAGAAGCACCGGCUAACUACGUG